AUAAAGCUUUAUAUUAUUAACUAUAAUUUAAUUAAAUUAAUAAGAUUAAAGGUUUUUAAUAGGUUAUUAAUAUUUUAUUGGGGAGGAACAAGAAUAAUUUUUGUAACUGCUUAUAAGUUAGUACAGUGAUAGUUGGUUAAAAUUUCAAUGAUCCUUUAAAUAAAGAUACAAGGCUA
rnacentral:rRNA from 1 species